rnacentral:rRNA from 1 species
AUUGAACGCUGGCGGCAUGCCUUACACAUGCAAGUCGAACGGCAGCACGGGUGCUUGCACCUGGUGGCGAGUGGCGAACGGGUGAGUAAUAUAUCGGAACGUACCUUAUUGUGGGGGAUAACGCAGCGAAAGCUGUGCUAAUACCGCAUAAUCCCUAAGGGGGAAAGCGGGGGACCGUAAGGCCUCGCGCAAUUAGAGCGGCCGAUACCUGAUUAGAUAGUGGGUGAGGUAAAGGCUCACCAAGGCAACGAUCAGUAGCUGGUCUGAGAGGACGAUCAGCCACACUGGGACUGAGACACGGCCCAGACUCCUACGGGAGGCAGCAGUGGGGAAUUUUGGACAAUGGGGGCAACCCUGAUCCAGCAAUGCCGCGUGAGUGAAGAAGGCCUUCGGGUUGUAAAGCUCUUUUGUCAGGGAAGAAACAGCAGCUCUAACACAGUUUGCGAAUGACGGUACCUGAAGAAUAAGCACCGGCUAACUACGUGCCAGCAGCCGCAGUAA